AAUAGCAUCAGGUUUUAUGGAGAGCACUUGAGCUCUUCCAGCUGAAGUUUUGGAGGAUGCCCUCCACAGGACGCCAGAUGGGAACGAGUCAAGCUCUCAGAGUGUUUACUGCUGUCAAACUGUGGGUCAACGAGGGACUCUGAGAGAGCCAAACACAGGCGCUGCUCUUCCUCCCAACACCACACCUCCCUGCUUCCUCCGUCAUCCUCCUCCACUGUGAGAGAAAACUGAAGGACCAUCCAAGAGAAUGUGCUGGAAACACUUCCAAACUGUCACACACAUAUAUCACACAAACACACACACUCACACACACACUCGUCUUCCUCUCCUGUGUGAUCCUGGCAGCGGCUGGGUGAGAAACAGCAGGACGGGCCGCUGCUCUUCAUCAGCGGAGAGCAGCCUUGACUCUUUGACGUUCAGCUAUUCAGGGUUUUCCUCUGCCUCACUUCUCUCAAGCUUUUUGUUUUUCUUGGUACAAAAACCGACAGCAGAGGAAUGAACUAUGGGAAAAAAUAUGUUUGAAUGUUGGUGAGAAAAUACACAUGUGGGCUCCGCCUGAAUGAAGCUGAAUCACUCUGAAAAAAACAAUAAUUUAAGAGUCACAGAAGAUUUAGAGGAGCUAUAUGGGAGUGUGUUUUCUCAGGACGGUUGCGUUCACACUGCAGGUGAAAAAAAGAUCAAAUCUGGAUUGUAAUUGAUGCACUUAAAAUCUCUUUUGGGGGGCACAGAUUUGGCCUAAUGGUUAAGUUGGGCACCCAUAUAGUGGGCAGCCUAUGUCAAUUCCAGCCUGUGGCCCCUUUCUCACAUCAAUCUCACACGCUCUCCCAGUUUCCUACUCUAUUCACUGUCCUCAACUCUAUCUAUAAAGGUGUAAAAAAUAUAACUUUAAAAAAAAUCUCUUUCGGGCUUGUUUGAUGUUUUACAUCUUGUAAUAAGUAUCUUAAAUGUAGAAGUGCAAUCCCAGCCUGAACCUUGAUAAAUAAUGAAAACGUGGCCUGAUGUGUGAAUGUUUUUCUAAAAGGAAUUAAAAACAUGAA